UUAUUUGGGAUGCUAAGUCAUAUCGUUAACUGAGUUUAACUUCAGUUUCGUAUACAAUACCGAUAAAUGACGAUAAUGCCCUUAUGGCACAUAAAAAGGGUUUUAAGCAUAAUAUUCAAACCAAACCUUUUGCUUACUGAUUUGUUAUGACAAAUAAAAUAUUUUGACUAAUCAAAGCUAGUCAUAACAUCAGGUUUCAUAAACCUUCACAUAAUUCGUCAUUUAGCGACAUUAACGCCGUUUAGGCGCGCAGUAUGGUUUUAAACCAUAUUUAUGAAUCAAUGUCACACCCUGGCUUUGCGGAAGCGUGGGUUAUUUGGUGUGACUUCUUAAUACCAUUGCCACAAUCAUAACAAUUCUAUAUGAUUAAAAACAUAAGAUAUUCACCCAUAAAUAAAGUUUAGAAAAAUACCAUAUUAUACUUGUCUUAAAACAACAAUCGCCAAAAUAAGUUACAACCCAUGACUUGAUUUAAUGAGUUCGUAAAAACUUAGCAAAAGACUUUAAACGAUACUAGGUUUAGAGUUAUGUAACCCGUCCAGGAAGAAGUUACACCUUCUAAACCCGGAAUGACUUCUUUAUUCAAACGCAGCUUGAAAUAUAUAUAUAUGCAUACCGUGCCAGAUCCAUUAGUUUCCUGAAAUAAUGUAGUUUGAAAAGUCAACAUAAAGUUGAGCGAGUUCAUGUGUAUGUGAGUUGAUAUAAACCUUUGUAAAAUGUCUGUGUGUAUGAAAAUUCCUGGUAUGAAGCAAUAAGGAAAAAGAGAUCAAUUAAUGUGUAGCUAAUACAUUAAUAAGUGAAAUGGCCUAGGAAGCACUCAAACCUGCAACGCGUAUUUCAUACCGGUCCUUCCGGCGGAACGACAUAGUCACCACAUGCAGACACACGCUGGCUCAUGUGUGGGGCUCGCAACACCCGAUAGAUCUAUCACUCAUGCCUCUCGGUCCUUAUACAAGGAUUAAUGGUCUUACGAUAAUAGCCUACCCAUUCACAUGAUCUAGGUAAUAACCCUCCUUACGCUAAACAUACCAUGUAUAAAAGUGCUCGUAAUCAUAGUAACAUGUAUUUCACCCCCGCAGUUUAAAAACUGAAAACAGUUAAGAGAAAAGGGGGACAUGAACUCACCAAAGUGCGUCUCUAAAAAGUAUCUCCCAGUCAACCUGCUGUGCGACGACCUACACGUACUAACUUCUAUUAGACGGACGGCCGUGCCUUAGCUUAAGGGUUAAUGUCUUUAGGAAAUAGUUAGGCAACUAUUUCGUAAUUACACUUCGGAAUUAUUUGGUAAAUAUACUCCUUCCCAAGGAUGGGGGUUUUAAUACAUGUGCGUUUAUACAAUUCCAAGACUUCAUUAUUAAGUCCCACUUAAUAAAUACACUCUAAUUCUUUUGUCCAAAAUAUUCUAUCUCCAAAAUAUAAAUAAUUAAAUAUCUUUCCCAAAAAUAUUAUAUUUUAUUUCAUUUGUCUAAAAUACUCUACUUCCAAAAUAUAAAUAUUUUUCCCAAAAAUAUUAUAUUCUAUUUCAUUUGUCUAAAAUACUCUACUUCCAAAAUAUAAAUAUUUUUCCCAAAAAUGCUAUAUUUAUUCCAUAUAAUUUUUCCCCAAAAUAACACUCGUCAAAAUACACACUUAUGAGUAUUUUCUAAAAAUGCAUGAGUUAUGUUUAAAGAUCGGGUGGUAUUAAUAAUACCGUUGUAACUUAAUAUUUAUUGUGAAGGCGUUCGUAUUGUUUUGGAGUUGUUAACAUUUGGUAAUAUUAUUUCUACUCUAAAAAUAAUAUUUAGAUAGUUUGCAAAAUAAUCACAAAAAUUUACGCAAGUGUUGUUAUGAAAAUAUAUAUUCUAAAUAUAUAUUUUAGCAAGUUUAUUUUGUGAAAAUCCCACCUCCGACACUUAAAAAGUUUUGUAAUAAAAAUCAUGGCGAAAGUUAUUUGGGAAAACAAGUUAAAAAUAUAGUCAUAACACUUGUGAUAAAAAUAUUUACAAGUGUUAGACUUUUGGAAAAAUUUCGCCAGAGUUUCCCCUGUAACUUGAGGUGGCCACGCUUUCAAGCGUAUCAUUUUCUUUUAAAAUUCAAAUCAACAAUUUUCUCAAUCAACAAUAAACAAUAUUCAAACCAUCAAACUAGUCAAAAUAGAUAUAAAUCGCAAAAAUACAUGAACUUGUGGUUUAUCCAAAAUAUGUAGUAACUUUCCAUUACUUUUAGUGGAUCUUUGUAUAAAUCCACUCGGUUUCUUGAGAGUCUCGUUUUUAAAGAAAAUAAAUUUCCACAACUUCUUGUCAACAUUUACAAAAAUAGUUCUUUUGUCAAAACUUUGUGUUACACAAGUGUCUACACACUUGUGUGUUUACAAAAAUCACUCUUGUUCAUGUAAAACCCGGUUUAGAAAAUAUGAUUUCUUUUGACGCUUGGUCCUUUGAAAAUACCACUUGUAGAUCCGUAGAUCUAGAAGUUUACAAGUCUAUUUCAUAAGAAAGAUUGUCUUUACACAAGUUCAUGCUUGAUAUGUAGUAGUGUUCAUCAUUUAACCUCUUUCAUACUAUAACAUAUUCUAGGUCAUGUUUCAUGGACAUGACUUAGCCGGGUUAGAUGACGAUCCGAGCUACUACUAGCAUAGAUCAACACUAAAUAACCACAAUAAAACAAGUCUUACAAGUUUUACACAACUCUAUUGCUUUUAUCCAACAUGUUUAUCAUUUUUGUAAACUUUUAGUAUGUAAUCUUGUAUGUUCAUGAUUUUUAACUGACAAAGUUCAUUUUAACCACUUUAGAAUAGAUCAAGAAGGCGUUUAGAGUCACUUACUACUAGCUCGAGGCUAGGGAAGAAACUAGUCGGAAAUCGAGUGGAUAAAGGCAAUGUAGCGAGGUCCUUCGCAAUCCGAGUGCACCGACGUUCCUUAUACGCGAUCCUUAACCCUUGUAUGUGCUUGGAAUGGAUUGAUCAAGAUCGAAAAGUGGUGGUGGUGGUGCUUGUGUGGUCGGCCGAAGGUAAGAGAGGAGGGAGGGAGAGUAUUUGUUUUGCUAAGUGUGGUGUAAAGUGAGAGUUAUAACCCCUUAGGUCCUUUUAUAAUCCAUCCAUCUCUAAUAUCCCUUGGAUGUUAUGUCACCUAGAUAUUUAGCACAUGAUAUUAUAAUAAUCAAAAAUUAGUGAGGGUGUCCCCCACAUGGACCGAAUUCGGUUGGGAUGGGAGGGGGUUUCAUAGUUGGUUUCUAACUAAAUGGUUAGGCAUUAGUUGUUAAGUAGGAGGUUAAACCGGUUACUAGCAUGUAGUAAGUUGUAACGGGUGUUAGCGUAUUCGGGGACCCUAACUGGCUCAGAAAAGGAAAAACAAUGUUAAUGACAAUAUUUUUAUGUUCCGUAUAAAGUCCGGUUGUUCGGUUGGAUAGUGAUCCGUUAAAGUGCUUAACAAAGCUUUAGAGUGUCGUUAUUAUUAUUUUUAGUGACACAAUUUAUUCCCGACACUUUGGAAAGUGUCUAGUAAUAUUUUCCUCAUGUUUUGGCACUUUAUUAGUUAGCUUAAUGCUGAAUUUUUAUUUAAAGUGCUGAAUUUUGUACUUAAAGUACGUUUUAGGCACACCCGGUCACUGUAAUUAUCACCUAGUGACGCAGUUCUACAAUCCUCACUUCCCUACACUCUCUACGGGUGUAGUAAACUAUCUCUGGCUCACACAGGCCUUAGAGGCAGUGUCUGCCUGGUGCUGGCUAUGUCAGCGUGUUAAAUGGAGUAACAGCAAAUAGAGUAUGAGGCAUGGUUAUACAUAUUUCAGAAAUCAUGUAGAAGUUUAUUUACCACUGUAAGCAAGCACAGUAAUUGAGCAGUAAUUAAAUACUAAUUAAUUUGUACGGAUACCCGGUUUUGUGAGGGUUGUCACAAUCAAGACUUGUUACCUACUGAUUUUAUAAACCAUUUUAAAAGUUUUUACAGUAGGUAUAAGUCAUAAACUCAGAAUCCCAAAUAAAUUCUCAAAACUAUGUGUGAAAUGACCAAAAUGCCCCUACAGUGCAUAGUUUGGUCAUAAAGCAGAAACCACACAUAUAUUUGAUACCCUACUAAUAUGAUAUCAUAAUUUAAACAAUUUUACAGAGUGUUUAUGACCAUGACAUCAGUUUACUUGCAAGCUCCUUUUAUAACUUGUAAAAUUACCAAAAUGCCCUUAUGAGGCACAGUUUGAUUUUAAAACCUUAACGGGCAUACAAGUUGAUAUACUACUGAUAUUAUAACUUGUUUAAAGUAUAUUGGCAUAUGGAACUUGUUCAUGAUUCAUCCGGUUACCCGUUAUCGCUUAUACGCGUAUGGUUAGACUUACGUAACUAGUUUACAUAAGGACAAAAGCUGUAAUUUUUCCUUUUUUUAAAUUAAAACAAAUAAUCAUUGGUCCUUGCUUCUUAUUGGUCAAGUUUUCAAGUUUGCCGUAAGUCAAGGCGUUUUAUAAACCACGUC
rnacentral:lncRNA from 1 species